GACGAACGCUGGCGGCGUGCUUAACACAUGCAAGUCGAACGGAAAGGCCUCAGCUUGCUGGGGUACUCGAGUGGCGAACGGGUGAGUAACACGUGGGUGAUCUGCCUUGCACUCUGGGAUAAGCUUGGGAAACUGGGUCUAAUACCGGAUAUGAACUGCCUUUAGUGUGGUGGUUGGAAAGUUUUUUCGGUGCAAGAUGAGCUCGCGGCCUAUCAGCUUGUUGGUGGGGUAAUGGCCUACCAAGGCGUCGACGGGUAGCCGGCCUGAGAGGGUGUACGGCCACAUUGGGACUGAGAUACGGCCCAGACUCCUACGGGAGGCAGCAGUGGGGAAUAUUGCACAAUGGGCGGAAGCCUGAUGCAGCGACGCCGCGUGGGGGAUGACGGCCUUCGGGUUGUAAACGCCUUUCGACAGGGACGAAGCUUUUUGUGACGGUACCUGUAGAAGAAGCACCGGCUAACUACGUG
rnacentral:rRNA from 1 species